CCAAAAGAUAAUCUUUCAACACUGAAAGAUCUUACCUUUGUGCUGGCUUUGACAGUUUUGUACUUUUGGGGCUUUAAAAUGGUUCAGUAGUUAAAGGAGGGAGUAAUCCCUUUUUCAUGCUAUUGGGUCGGCCCCAAAUAAUCAUAUCAUCCUUAAAAAUUUUUCUGAUUAAUUAACACAUGAUUUUAAUAAUCUGUUUAAAA
rnacentral:misc_RNA from 1 species